GAGUUAGGGCAGAGACCUCUCCCUUGUAAAAGAGUUAGGGUUAAAGCUAAUUUAUGCUAUAAAUACUCAUGUGCAUGCUGAUCAUGUGACGGGAACUGGAUUGAUAAAAACAAAGCUUCCUGGCGUGAAAUCUAUUAUU